rnacentral:rRNA from 1 species
AUUGAACGCUGGCGGCAUGCCUUACACAUGCAAGUCGAGCGGCAGCGCGGGGGCAACCCUGGCGGCGAGCGGCGGACGGGUGAGUAAUACAUCGGAACGUGUCCUUUCGUGGGGGAUAACCAGUCGAAAGACUGGCUAAUACCGCAUGAGAUCUGACGAUGAAAGCGAGGGACCCGCAAGGGCCUCGCGCGAUUGGAGCGGCCGAUGUCGGAUUAGCUAGUGGCGGGUAAAGCCCACCAAGGCGACGAUCCGUAGCUGGUUUGAGAGAACGACCAGCCACACUGGGACUGAGACACGGCCCAGACUCCUACGGGAGGCAGCAGUGGGGAAUUUUGGACAAUGGGGGCAACCCUGAUCCAGCCAUGCCGCGUGUGUGAAGAAGGCCUGCGGGUUGUAAAGCACUUUCAGUA